UACGUAGGGUGCAAGCGUUAAUCGGAAUUACUGGGCGUAAAGCGUGCGCAGGCGGUUGUGCAAGACAGGGGUGAAAUCCCCGGGCUUAACCUGGGAACUGCACUUGUGACUGCACGGCUGGAGUACGGCAGAGGGGGAUGGAAUUCCGCGUGUAGCAGUGAAAUGCGUAGAUAUGCGGAGGAACACCGAUGGCGAAGGCAGUCCCCUGGGCCUGUACUGACGCUCAUGCACGAAGGCGUGGGGAGCAAACAGG
rnacentral:rRNA from 1 species